CCCAGACCUACAUUUUGAUGCAUAGUUUGUCUCUGAAGUAUUAAAAAUGAAGGCACAGUCGCAGUUUAGAAAUUGCACUUCAAAUUUGAGCUUUGUAGAGUGAAGUUUCAAUGAAUGUCAAUGGACGGCGUUGGUUGCAAACAAAUGGUCAUAUUGUGAAAACUAUCAGGACUACGGCUUAGCCGUUUACAUGUUUAGUGGCAGCAGGGAUAGCUGAACG